rnacentral:rRNA from 1 species
ACUCCUACGGGAGGCAGCAGUGGGGAAUAUUGCACAAUGGGGGAAACCCUGAUGCAGCGACGCCGCGUGCGGGAUGAAGGCCUUCGGGUUGUAAACCGCUUUCAGCAGGGGCGAAUCAAGACGGUACCUGCAGAAGAAGCGCCGGCUAACUACGUGCCAGCAGCCGCGGUAAUACGUAGGGCGCAAGCGUUGUCCGGAAUUAUUGGGCGUAAAGAGCUCGUAGGCGGCCUGUUGCGUCCGCUGUGAAAUCCCAGGGCUUAACCCUGGGCCUGCAGUGGAUACGGGCAGGCUGGAGGCAGGCAGGGGAGAACGGAAUUCCCGGUGUAGCGGUGAAAUGCGCAGAUAUCGGGAGGAACACCGGUGGCGAAGGCGGUUCUCUGGGCCUGUACUGACGCUGAGGAGCGAAAGCGUGGGGAGCGAACAGGAUUAGAUGCCCUGGUAGUCCACGCCGUAAACGUUGGGCGCUAGGUGUGGGUCCCUUCCACGGGGUCUGUGCCGCAGCUAACGCAUUAAGCGCCCCGCCUGGGGAGUACGGCCGCAAGGCUAAAACUCAAAGAAAUUGACGGGGGCCCGCACAAGCGGCGGAGCAUGUUGCUUAAUUCGACGCAACGCGAAGAACCUUACCAAGGUUUGACAUGGCCGGAAAACUCAUGGAGACAUGGGGUCCUUCGGGGCCGGUCACAGGUGGUGCAUGGCUGUCGUCAGCUCGUGUCGUGAGAUGUUGGGUUAAGUCCCGCAACGAGCGCAACCCUCGUCCAAUGUUGCCAGCGGGUAAUGCCGGGGACUCAUUGGAGACUGCCGGGGUCAACUCGGA